CAGUGUGGACACACCUAUUGAAAUACAGUGGUCACACACGUUGGAUGUGUCAGUCCAAUUUUGGACUGUGUGUUUAAUUUAACAAACAGAUGUUAUCAUGCUUAAUAAAUUAUUUGCUUCACUUUCAUAAACGUAAGACAUGUUAAUUUUUGUUCUGUUACAGCGACAUAUGAUAAGGCGCGCAAGAAACUGAGAAAGGCAACAGAAACAUACGAUCUGAACAACACAGAUGAUGAACAAACACGUAGGCGAAAACCCUCUGUCAUUUCUAUAAGAUGAAGAAGAUUUUUCUGUAAGCAAGAAUGUGGGAUCAUCACAAAGGAUGCCACUCUUGCCAACUCCACCUUUGUUUCCAACAACAGUAGCAUCACCCAGCAGCAGCAACAGCAGCAACAGUGAGGAUGGAAAUAUCAGCAGUGAUGACAGAAACUACAACAACAACACCAGCAGCAAUAACACUGGGAACAGAGACAGUGACAGGAGCAGCUAUGUGCCUCUAUCAGGUACAUAUUUAAUUGUACGUUUAAUUAUUGCAAUGAAUCAUGAAAAGGUUACAGUAUUCUUACAACUGCAGUAUCUGUCUGUAAAAAGUUAUUUUCCUAUGUGCACAUGUGUGCAUUACAUAUAAUGGUUCUCUUUAAUGACCAAUGGGGGCAGUUAAAGACAGAAGAUUAUAUGUGCAGUUUUUGUUCUAUUAAAUAGACAGGGAUAGGGUGAUCUUCACCAUUUUAGAAGAAAUCAAGAGCCAGGGGAAGCAAAACACCCUGAUGCUUCAGGCACUUCUCAAACGGCAGCCUGCGCCUGAAUGAAUUCCGAUUUUCACUUGCCACCAAGGAGGACAUUGAGAGAGUGGAGAGGACGUUAAUGGACCAACGCUACAGAAAAGGCACUGAUCACACACAUUUGUAAUCUUGGUGGCAACACAGCCGAUGUCACCAUCAGGCGCAUGAUGAGUCAUGACCAACAAUCUGGCUAGAGGAUUCAACUGGCUGGGGCGGGGAAACAAGAGCCCCUUUUCUGUCCUUGCUUUGGCGAGAGUAAUCAAAGAUGCAGAGCCUGCAAGUGCUGCUAAUGCUGCCAGUGACAGUGAGAAGAUUGAGAGAUUGUUUGAGCCAUUUUUUUUCAUUCUAGACAGAUAUUUGA